rnacentral:rRNA from 1 species
ACGGGAGGCAGCAGUGGGGAAUCUUGCCCAAUGGGCGCAAGCCUGAGGCAGCAACGCCGCGUGCGGGAAGAAGGCCCUCGGGUUGUAAACCGCUUUCAGCAGGAACGAAAAUGACGGUACCUGCAGAAGAAGGUGCGGCCAACUACGUGCCAGCAGCCGCGGUGACACGUAGGCACCAAGCGUUGUCCGGAUUUAUUGGGCGUAAAGAGCUCGUAGGCGGUUCGGUAAGUCGGGUGUGAAAACCUUGGGCUCAACCCAAGGACUGCACCCGAUACUGCUGUGACUUGAGUCCGGUAGGGGAGUGGGGAAUUCCUGGUGUAGCGGUGGAAUGCGCAGAUAUCAGGAGGAACACCGGUGGCGAAGGCGCCACUCUGGGCCGGUACUGACGCUGAGGAGCGAAAGCGUGGGGAGCGAACAGGAUUAGAUACCCUGGUA